ensembl:snRNA U6 U6 spliceosomal RNA
GUGCUCGAUUCACCAGCACACACACCCAAGUUGGAAAGAAACAAAGAAGACUGGCAUAGCUCUUGCACAAAGGUGACUUGCAGAUUUGUGAAACGUGCCACAUUUUU